rnacentral:rRNA from 1 species
CCUACGGGAGGCAGCAGUGAGGAAUAUUGGUCAAUGGACGCAAGUCUGAACCAGCCAUGCCGCGUGCAGGAAGAAGGCGCUAGGAGUUGUAAACGGCUUUUGUACGAGGGUAAACGCAGAUACGCGUAUCUGUCUGAAAGUAUCGUACGAAUAAGGAUCGGCUAACUCCGUGCCAGCAGCCGCGGUAAUACGGAGGAUGCAAGCGUUAGCCGGAUUUAUUUGGGUUAAAGGGUGCGUAGGCGGUCGGUUAAGUUAGAGGUGACAUCCCGAGGCUCAACUUCGGAAUUGCCUCUGAUACUGUUCGGCUAGAGAGUAGUUGCGGUAGGCGUAAUGUAUGGUGUAGCGGUGAAAUGCUU